rnacentral:lncRNA from 1 species
AUGAAAAUGUUGUUGACACGGAUGAAGGUGAAGUAGGUCCGAGUGAAGUCGAAACUGAAAUUGAAAAUCCAAAUGUUCCCACUAUUGAAACAAGUGCUCAAGAUUAUCAAUUGGUGAGAGAUAGGGAAAGAAGGCAAAUUAAACCAAAUCCAAGAUAUGAAAUAAAUAAUUUGACCGACUUUGCCCUUAUCUCGGGUGAAUCUUUAGAGUAUUCAGAACCUUCAUCAUAUGAAGAGGCUAUGAAUAGCUCUAACUCUGAA